CCGAGUUUACAACUCCCAAACCCCUGUGAACAUACCACUUGUUGCCUCGGCGGAUCUGCCCGCUCCCGGUAAAACGGGACGGCCCGCCAGAGGACCCCUAAACUCUGUUUCUAUAUGUAACUUCUGAGUAAAACCAUAAAUAAAUCA
rnacentral:misc_RNA from 1 species